UUGUAGAGCGCCGCCACACGCCCCGCCCAGUACGGUUUCUCCCGUCCCGUUAGGCGGGAGGGGCGCGUCCGGAGCGCGGUCUGACCUUGGGUGUCCUUGCGGGCGUGUCUUUCCGGGCAGGUGGUGCGCGCAGGUGCUGGCUAGCGGCAGCGUUACGUAGCCUUUAGGAGCUCAAGCUGUGGGCAGACUUUUGUGGUUUGUGUAAACUUGGGCAUCUUGUCCUUUUCCUCUCCAUGCCUCAGUUUCUUCAUUUACGACAUGGAAGUGAAGAUGGCAGCUACCUCAUGACUGGUGCAGAGUGUUCCGAACUAGGCAGUGAGCAUACUAAAAAGGAGUGAUGGGUUUUCUAGGGUGAGAAAGGGGCAUCCUGGUUAGGGGGAGAUGGGCAGGUGCUAACAGAAAUAAUAACAACAGUAACAUUCAGCCCUGAUGUGCUAGCACUGUGCUAAGUGCUUUACUUUCUUCAGCUCAUUUUAUUGUCCUAACAAAGUACCAGCCUCUUGCUUAUGAGUCGUCCACUCUCCGGGUACUCCUGGGAUGGCAGGAGCAGCCAUGGACCCAUCUUGACAUGGCAGUUCCUGCUGCAGCUGUGAAGGGGGUGGCCUGGCUCGGGGGACUGCACAAGAACGAGACCCACGUGAAUUACAAGCUCAAACCUUCAAAGCAAUAUUAAUAAUGAGACUGUCGCACCCAUCCUUUGGGACUGCCUGAGCAUCCCUAAGGCCCUCCAGCUUUGUCCUGAGGACCACCAAAUCAGCUCCACAACCCUCCCCCCAUAUUUAUACCAGUAGUUUAAUUUUCUCGCCUUAAUACCUUAGCUAAAACCACCGAAACCAUAUUAAUAAGACUCCUCUUCAUCCC
rnacentral:lncRNA from 1 species